rnacentral:rRNA from 1 species
UACUACCGAAGCUACGGCAUCAGUAAUGAUGGGUAGGGGAGCUUCCCAUACGGGUUGAAGCAUGACCGUAAGGACAUGUGGACAGUAUGGGAGUGAGAAUGUUGGCAUGAGUAGCGAGAUGUGGGUGAGAAUCCCACAGGCCGUAAACCCAAGGUUUCCAGGGGAAGGUUCGUCCGCCCUGGGUUAGUCGGGACCUAAGCUGAGG